rnacentral:rRNA from 1 species
UACGGAGGGUGCGAACGUUAAUCGGAAUCACUGGGCGUAAAGCGCGCGUAGGCGGUCUGUUAAGUGGGCUGUGAAAUCCCCGGGCUUAACCUGGGAAUUGCAUUUCAAACUGGCCGACUAGAGUACGGUAGAGGGAGGUAGAAUUUCCUGUGUAGCGGUGAAAUGCGUAGAUAUAGGAAGGAAUACCAGUGGCGAAGGCGGCCUCCUGGACCGAUACUGACGCUGAGGCGCGAAAGCGUGGGGAGCAAACAGG